UUCAAAACAAUUAUUAUUGAUUGAUAAUAAAAAAGUUUUGCUCUCUACAAAAAGACACAAAUGCAUCUCCAUAGGAUAUAACAAUUUGCCCGUGAGUAACCAGACCGUCAUACCAACUUGCUCUGCAGAAUUCUUGACGCACAACCCAAGUUGUUGCCAUAUCCUGCCAGCACACCCACAAGCGAGCCACUCAGGCGCAGAAUGACAGGUGGAAGAGGGCGAGGAACGAGAUGUCAAAUCGCAGGAAUUCCGAUGGCUGUCCAGUGUGGAAUCCGCUGUUUGUUUGUUUACCUCAACAAUUGGCAAAGUCACUACAUGGCCUUAUUAACGGUGAGAUUGCAGCCGGGAGCAACAAGAAGAAGCGCUGCGGUGUAUCUGGACCCAAGAAGGACAGGAAGACACAGUACACAUGCAUCAAGAUCACGAAAUAC